AUUGAACGCUGGCGGCAGGCCUAACCCAUGCAAGUCGAACGAGUGGCGGACGGGUGAGUAAUGUCUGGGAAACUGCCUGAUGGAUGUGGAUAACUACUGGCAACGGUAGCUAAUACCGCAUACCAUCGGAUGUGCCCAGAUGGGAUUAGCUAGUAGGUGGGGUAAAGGCUCACCUAGGCGACGAUCCCUAGCUGGUCUGAGAGGCGGACCAGCCACACUGGAACUGAGACACGGUCCAGAUGCCUACGGGAGGCAGCAGUGGGGAAUAUUGCACAAUGGGCGCAAGCCUGAUGCAGCCAUGCCGCGUGUAUGAAGAAGGCCUUCGGGUUGUAAAGUACUUUCAGCGGGGAGGCGUUACCCGCAGAAGAAGCACCGGCUAACUCCGUGCCAGCAGCCGCGGUAAGUC
rnacentral:rRNA from 1 species